AGAGUUUGAUCAUGGCUCAGAUUGAACGCUGGCGGCAGGCCUAACACAUGCAAGUCGAGCGGUAGCACAGAGAGCUUGCUCUCGGGUGACGAGCGGCGGACGGGUGAGUAAUGUCUGGGAAACUGCCUGAUGGAGGGGGAUAACUACUGGAAACGGUAGCUAAUACCGCAUAACGUCGCAAGACCAAAGUGGGGGACCUUCGGGCCUCAUGCCAUCAGAUGUGCCCAGAUGGGAUUAGCUAGUAGGUGGGGUAACGGCUCACCUAGGCGACGAUCCCUAGCUGGUCUGAGAGGAUGACCAGCCACACUGGAACUGAGACACGGUCCAGACUCCUACGGGAGGCAGCAGUGGGGAAUAUUGCACAAUGGGCGCAAGCCUGAUGCAGCCAUGCCGCGUGUGUGAAGAAGGCCUUCGGGUUGUAAAGCACUUUCAGCGGGGAGGAAGGCGGUAAGGUUAAUAACCUCAUCGAUUGACGUUACCCGCAGAAGAAGCACCGGCUAACUCCGUGCCAGCAGCCGCGGUAAUACGGAGGGUGCAAGCGUUAAUCGGAAUUACUGGGCGUAAAGCGCACGCAGGCGGUCUGUCAAGUCGGAUGUGAAAUCCCCGGGCUUAACCUGGGAACUGCAUUCGAAACUGGCAGGCUAGAGUCUUGUAGAGGGGGGUAGAAUUCCAGGUGUAGCGGUGAAAUGCGUAGAGAUCUGGAGGAAUACCGGUGGCGAAGGCGGCCCCCUGGACAAAGACUGACGCUCAGGUGCGAAAGCGUGGGGAGCAAACAGGAUUAGAUACCCUGGUAGUCCACGCCGUAAACGAUGUCGAUUUGGAGGUUGUGCCCUUGAGGCGUGGCUUCCGGAGCUAACGCGUUAAAUCGACCGCCUGGGGAGUACGGCCGCAAGGUUAAAACUCAAAUGAAUUGACGGGGGCCCGCACAAGCGGUGGAGCAUGUGGUUUAAUUCGAUGCAACGCGAAGAACCUUACCUGGUCUUGACAUCCACAGAACUUUCCAGAGAUGGAUUGGUGCCUUCGGGAACUGUGAGACAGGUGCUGCAUGGCUGUCGUCAGCUCGUGUUGUGAAAUGUUGGGUUAAGUCCCGCAACGAGCGCAACCCUUAUCCUUUGUUGCCAGCGGUCCGGCCGGGAACUCAAAGGAGACUGCCAGUGAUAAACUGGAGGAAGGUGGGGAUGACGUCAAGUCAUCAUGGCCCUUACGACCAGGGCUACACACGUGCUACAAUGGCAUAUACAAAGAGAAGCGACCUCGCGAGAGCAAGCGGACCUCAUAAAGUAUGUCGUAGUCCGGAUUGGAGUCUGCAACUCGACUCCAUGAAGUCGGAAUCGCUAGUAAUCGUAGAUCAGAAUGCUACGGUGAAUACGUUCCCGGGCCUUGUACACACCGCCCGUCACACCAUGGGAGUGGGUUGCAAAAGAAGUAGGUAGCUUAACCUUCGGGAGGGCGCUUACCACUUUGUGAUUCAUGACUGGGGUGAAGUCGUAACAAGGUAACCGUAGGGGAACCUGCGGUUGGAUCACCU
rnacentral:rRNA from 1 species